GAUGAAGAACGUAGCGAAAUGCGAUAAGUAAUGCGAAUUGCAGAAUCCGUGAGUCAUCGAAUCUUUGAACGCACAUUGCGCCCCUUGGUUAUUCCGAAGGGCAUGCCUGUUCGAGCGUCAUUAUCACCCCUCAAGCCCUGGCUUGGUGUUGGACUUUAGUUAUAGCUUUGCCUAUCAACUGGUCUCAAAGAUAGUGACGGCGCCCCAGAGGGAACCGGGUACGAGGAGCUUUUUACUAAGCAUGUAUCUGGGACGACUCUGGGCGACGGUCUUGUUAUACUUUUUACCUAAGUGUUGACCUCGGAUCAGGUAGGAAUACCCGCUGAACUUAAGCAUAUCAAUAAGCGGAGA
rnacentral:misc_RNA from 1 species